rnacentral:rRNA from 1 species
GGGGAAUAUUGGACAAUGGGCGAAAGCCUGAUCCAGCAAUACCGCGUGAAUGAUGAAGGCCUUAGGGUUGUAAAGUUCUUUUAGUUGGAAAGAUAAUGACGGUACCAACAGAAAAAGCCCCGGCUAACUCCGUGCCAGCAGCCGCGGUAAGACGGAGGGGGCUAGCGUUGUUCGGAAUUACUGGGCGUAAAGGGCGCGUAGGCGGAUUAGUAAGUUGGGAGUGAAAGCCCGGGGCUUAACCUCGGAACUGCUUUCAAAACUGCUAGUCUUGAGUGAAGUAGGGGAUGAUGGAAUUCCUAGUGUAGAGGUGAAAUUCUUAGAUAUUAGGAGGAACACCGGUGGCGAAGGCGGUCAUCUGGACUUCAACUGACGCUGAGGCGCGAAAGCGUGGGGAGCAAACAGGA